ACGAACGCUGGCGGCGUGCUUAACACAUGCAAGUCGAACGGAAAGGCCCUGCUUUUGUGGGGUGCUCGAGUGGCGAACGGGCGAGUAACACGUGAGUAACCUGCCCUUGACUUUGGGAUAACUUCAGGAAACUGGGGCUAAUACCGGAUAGGAGCUCCUGCUGCAUGGUGGGGGUUGGAAAGUUUCGGCGGUUGGGGAUGGACUCGCGGCUUAUCAGCUUGUUGGUGGGGUAGUGGCUUACCAAGGCUUUGACGGGUAGCCGGCCUGAGAGGGUGACCGGCCACAUUGGGACUGAGAUACGGCCCAGACUCCUACGGGAGGCAGCAGUGGGGAAUAUUGCACAAUGGGCGGAAGCCUGAUGCAGCAACGCCGCGUGCGGGAUGACGGCCUUCGGGUUGUAAACCGCUUUCGCCUGUGACGAAGCGUGAGUGACGGUAAUGGGUAAAGAAGCACCGGCUAACUACGUG
rnacentral:rRNA from 1 species